UACACAUUCUGGAUAGAUUGUUUUAAUGCAAUAUUAGAAAAAAGUACCUAAAGCUACAAGUGCCCCAAGGCUGAGUUCUGUGUAUUCACCUAAGUAUUUGUUCCUAAGCAAUCUCCCUGCUGUACCAGCAGAAAGAUUGGUAACAGUUCUAAGGCAGCUGUUUGAAGUGGCCUGCAAGCCGGAAUUUGAUCUGGCUGACAUCUUUCAUAUCUCAUCGAGCAUAUGUGUGGGCAAGAGAGGAGGAAGAAAGGAAAAGGUGGGGCAAUAAGCAGGGCAGAGUACUACUUGACAGCGCCACCAUUUCUAAGCAGGAAGAGGGAGCUUUUGCCUCUGUUUCACAUAAGGCCGUUGUUAACAUGAGUGCAUUGUACAACAGCUUCCCAGUAUUAACCACUACAAUGAAGCUGGAAUGUUGGUCUUUUGAUUCAACACAGCAAGGUCAAAAUGGAAAAGGUAAUUAAUUAGAACUGAAGAUGCAGUUGACAUAGCAUUGAAAUAAUUGCCUAUUUGUGCAAGCACAACAACCAUAUCUUCAAUUUAGGUCAGGCCAUCAAGAGGAGGAAAAGGACUGAAGACUGAAGAUGAGAUGCUCUACUUCACACAGUUGCCCUCUGGAAGGACUUGCAAAGGCAGUCACUUAAAUUAAGUACAGGUCAUCAGACAAGAUAUCUAAUCUAUUCCUAAGACAGGCAGCUCCAGCAGUCCAAAUCCCUAUGGCCUUUGCAGCAACACGAUGAACUACUUCCUCAUGUACCUCUGUCAAUUCACGUUAGGUUGCAGUUUUUUUAAAGCGAUAUUUCAUGUACAUCAUGACCCUAUUGCUCAAAGCAAGGAAAGUGCUUUGGUUUAUUUAUGACCUACUAACCUUAAAUUAAAAAAAAAAUACAUCCAAUCUGAAUGCUCACAUAAGCCUGCAGAUCUGAAAUAAAAUUUAAAAUAAAGCUGGCAUUUGUAACAGCUAGCUAAGCCCAAUAAGGGAUUUAAAAAAAAAAAAAUAAACCAGAUGAAAGAAGAUGAAAGCAUAUUUACCCUGCAUAACCUGCACACAUCAGGAAUCAGGGCUGGAACCCAGAAAUACCUUUCCUGCUUAGAAGUUUCAGCCCAUUUCCCAGGCUAGGUGACCAAGGAAAUACUGAUGCUUUCCAUGAUGGGGGGGUGGGGAGGCAUUAGUAACAACCUGUGAAAGUAAUUCCUUCGAAGAUGUAAUCCACCCAGCCACCAACUCUCCUCUCCUUCCCUCUGCACCCCAUCCCCAUUGCCAGAUACCAGCCAGGCAAGGCCCCACACUGAAAUAUGAAGUGACAGAUGGAAGCAGGGAAUAAGGGCAUAGGAAUGAGUACUGAAAGAAAUGGCGUACAGAAAACAAGCUUAUAAUAGGGCAGAUCUUAAACAUGAGCAACCUAAACCAUAAAGUUAAUUCAUUUGACUAGAACAAUGUUGAACAGAUGCACAUAAGACUGAGUUGGAGAGCCUUAUUCUCUCAUCAUUCACGCCAGUGUGCAGAGGUCUUCUCCUAACAUCCAUGGAAUUAAACCUUGGAAAUUGCAGUACAAAUAAAUGGAGAAAUAAAAAUAAUCACAGCUAAAGUAUUGGCAGCAAAUAUCCUGUGCUGCUGUAUUGGGAAAGAAAGGUGGGCUGCCACAUUUAAUUAAAAUGUAUUUGAUUUAGCUAUAUUCAUAAUCAAAGUGACCUUCAUAAACAAAACACAUCUAAUCCACCUUAAUAGUUGAUUCUGUUCCUGUCUACUUUCCAGUAGGCUAUAUUAAUGACUUUUAUUUUCAUUGUAACAGAUGGAAAAUACAUUUGAGUUAAAUUAUGCAACAAAUACCUCUACAGAGAGCAACUAGUUGAAAGAAACAGUUAGGACCAAGUCCUUGUCAUAGUGUUUGUUUACAAAAUAGGCUCAGGCAGCACACUGAUGGUCUUUAGUGUGGGUUCCCUUAACACAAGUACAGACAAACCCUCAAACAUUUUUAAUGCCUUAUAAAUAACAAUGGAUGGAAGAGAGAGAGUAGAAGGCACCUCUAAUCAAAGGAUAAGGUAAACAAAAAACAGCAAUUCACAUAAGUCAAUGAAUCAGUCACAUAAUGUCAGCACACUGAAGAGUGGACCUAGCAGAAAAAAAUUCUGACAAGCUGAGCUUCAAGAACAUCUGCAUCAGAACUCUGCUCACAAAUGAAAAUAAGAAAGAAGCCUGGGAAACUGCCAGCUCCUUGCAGAAAGACGGAAACAUGAUCAGCAGAGAAGGGUGUUUGUUUCGACAUUUGAGGAUGCAGUCAAGUCAAUGGAGUUCUGUUGUAGUGGUUGCUUCAGUGAACAUUCAACGCUGUCGGCCUUAACACCGAAGAUAGCAACCUAACCAUCAUAUGAUGUUUCUCCCUCACCCUGCCAAGCUUUACAAAAAGGUCACAAUCAACAUUCAUUGCUGUCGGUGGGUUUAACUAUGUGGACAAGCUCACUGAACAAUGAAUGCAACUGUGGCCCCACAUUGUACAGUUGCUGUUGAGAGGAGCAGCAGCUCUGAAGGAAAUAGUGAGAAGCAAACACUUCUUAGAAGCUACAGUUGUCUGGUCAGAAAAAUUGUUUGGGGUAUUCACUUUUUGCUUGCUUGGUUUUGAGUCUAUUUAAUUUAGCAGACUAGGAAAAAAAAAAACCCACCACCUUUUUCUGGAGUAUUGUCCUCACAGGGUUCAGUACCAUUGAAAAUGUGAAAAUUCUUAUUUACUGUGUGUGCAGAAAAAAUAACAGGACAAGAAGCUCUGUAUAUUCACUCCUAAGGAUUCUGGCAUAAGAGGAAAGAAGAUUUAAUUGCCAUUUAAGUAGGCAUUGUUGAAGAAUUCAAAAGUUUAUUCUAUACUUGUAAUGACAAAUAUAACUGGGAACAAAUGGGAUUUAAGAGUUAUGGAUAAAAAUCUUAUAUAAAAAAUUAAUUUUACAUUAAACUGAUUUUAAGAACACAAAUACUAUUGCAUUUGCUAUUUUUAGGGAUCUGAAAGAUGGUAAAGAAAUGUAUAUCCAGAAAUAAUAAUGGAAAAGCUGUUAAAUUUUAAAGUUACUGUAAACUGAGUACCUAUGUCACACUCUGAGUUUUGCAGUAAGAAAAUAAAUGGUAAAUAAGCUCA